AUACGGAGGGUGCAAGCGUUAAUCGGAACUACUGGGCGUAAAGAGUACGUAGGUGGUUUGUUAAGUCAGAUGUGAAAGCCCCGGGCUCAACCUGGGAACUGCAUUUGAAACUGGCAAACUAGAGUAUGGUAGAGGGGGGUAGAAUUUCUAGUGUAGCGGUGAAAUGCGUAGAUAUUAGAAGGAAUACCAGUGGCGAAGGCGGCCCCCUGGACCAAUACUGACACUGAGGUACGAAAGCGUGGGUAGCGAACAGGAUUAGAAACCCUUGUAGUCC
rnacentral:rRNA from 1 species